CCUACGGGAGGCAGCAGGGAGGAAUAUUGGUCAAUGGGCGCGAGCCUGAACCAGCCAAGUAGCGUGAAGGAUGACUGCCCUACGGGGUGUAAACUUCUAUUAUAAAGGAAUAAAGUGAGGCACGUGUGCCUUGUUGUAUGUACGUUAUGAAUAAGGAUCGGCUAACUCCGUGCCAGCAGCCGCGGUAAUACGGAGGAUCCGAGCGUUAUCCGGAGGUAUUGGGGUUAAAGGGAGCGUAGAUGGGUUGUUAAGGCAGUGGUGAUAGUUUGCGGCGCACCCGUAAAAUUGCAAUUGAUACUGGCAGUCUUUAGUACAGUUGAGGUCGUCUGCAUUCGUGGUGUAGCGGU
rnacentral:rRNA from 1 species